GUAAGGAAUAUUGGACAAUGGGGGAAACCCUGAUCCAGCCAUGCCGCGUGAGUGAAGAAGGCCUUCGGGUUGUAAAGCUCUUUCAGAUGUGAAGAUGAUGACGGUAACAUCAGAAGAAGCUCCGGCUAACUUCGUGCCAGCAGCCGCGGUAAUACGAGGGAGCGAGCGUUGUUCGGAAUCACUGGGCGUAAAGAGUGCGUAGGCGGUUAUACAAGUCAGGAGUGAAAUCCCAGGGCUCAACCCUGGAAUUGCUUUUGAAACUGUAUAGCUAGAGUCCCGGAGGGGUUAAUGGAAUUCCGAGUGUAGAGGUGAAAUUCGCAGAUAUUCGGAGGAACACCAGUGGCGAAGGCGAUUAACUGGACGGGCACUGACGCUGAGGCACGAAAGCGUGGGGAUCAAACAGGAUUAGAUACCCUAGUAGUCC
rnacentral:rRNA from 1 species